rnacentral:rRNA from 1 species
GAUCAUGGCUCAGAUUGAACGCUGGCGGCAGGCUUAACACAUGCAAGUCGAGCGGAAACGAUGAAAAGCUUGCUUUUCAGGCGUCGAGCGGCGGACGGGUGAGUAAUGCUUGGGAAUAUGCCUUAUGGUGGGGGACAACAGUUGGAAACGACUGCUAAUACCGCAUAACGUCUACGGACCAAAGGGGGGGAUCUUCGGACCUCUCGCCAUUUGAUUAGCCCAAGUGAGAUUAGCUAGUUGGUGAGGUAAUGGCUCACCAAGGCGACGAUCUCUAGCUGGUUUGAGAGGAUGAUCAGCCACACUGGGACUGAGACACGGCCCAGACUCCUACGGGAGGCAGCAGUGGGGAAUAUUGCACAAU